rnacentral:rRNA from 1 species
GAUGAACGCUGGCGGCGUGCCUAAUACAUGCAAGUCGAGCGAACGGACGAGACGCUUGCUUCUCUGAUGUUAGCGGCGGACGGGUGAGUAACACGUGGAUACCCUACCUAUAAGACUGGGAUCACUUCGGGACACCGGAGCUAAUACCGGAUAAUAUUUUGCACCGCAUGGUUCAAAAGAGAAAGACGGUCUUGCUGUCACUUCUAGCUGGAUCCGCGCUGCAUUAGCUAGUUGGUAAGGUAACGGCUUAUCAAGGCAACGAUGCAUAGCCGACCUGAGAGAGGGAUCGGCCACCUUGGAGCGGAGACACGGACAAGGCUACUACGGGAGGCAGCAGUCGGGUACGUGACGCAGUAGGCGGAAGCCUUACGGAGCAAGGGCGAGUGAGUGGUGGCGGUGUUCGGAUCGUAAUACUCUGUUAUGAGGGAAGAACAUAUGUGUACGUUAAUGUGCACAGCUUGACGGUACCUAGUCAGGAAGCCACGGCUAACUACGUG